rnacentral:rRNA from 1 species
ACGGCGAGCGAAGCGGCAAAAGCUCAAAUUUGAAAUCUGGCGUUUUUCUUAAGCGUCCGAGUUGUAAUUUGAAGAAGGUAACUUUGGAGAUGGCCCUUGCAUAUGUUCCUUGGAAUAGGAUGUCAUAGAGGGUGAGAACCCCGUACAUGGUGAGGUGAUCCAUCUCUUUGUAAAGUGCUUUCUAAGAGUCGAGUUGUUUGGGAAUGCAGCUCUAAGUGGGUGGUAAAUUCCAUCUAAGGCUAAAUAUAGGCGAGAGACCGAUAGCGAACAAGUACAGUGAUGGAAAGAUGAAAAGAACUUUGAAAAGAGAGUGAAAAAGUACGUGAAAUUGUUGAAAGGGAAGGGCUUGACAUCAGACUUGGCUUGUGGUGAUCAGCUGUCUUUCGGGACUGUGCACUCGCCACUUGCUAGGCCAGCAUCAGUUUUGGCGGUAAGAUAAUGACAGUUGAAUGUGGCUCUGCUUCGGUGGAGUGUUAUAGCCUCUGUUGAUGUUACCAGCCGGGACUGAGGACCGCGC